rnacentral:lncRNA from 1 species
UAUAUAUUCUUUCUUUUGACAUGAAUAUUUUUUUGUGGCUAAUACUCUCAUUAAAUUUUAGGCAACAUACUACCCGCUUCGUUUAUUUUAUUUAAAAAUAAAAAUAACGAGAAAUAUUAAUCAACUAGGAUUCAAACUUAGGUCUCGAAUACCAACCACCAAACCUUUUGUCACUUACUCUAUGAACGGUCGGUCUCAUUUUGUUGCUGUUGUAUUUUUAUUGCAAGUUCUAACAAACUUAGCUGCUUUAUUUUAGCAUAACUUGUAAAUUAUGGUGCAGGUUACCAUGACAAAAAUACUAUUUUAGGAGAGAAGCAUUUAAAUUUAAAAAUUAGAAAUUGUAGUCAAAAGAGUU